rnacentral:rRNA from 1 species
GACGAACGCUGGCGGCGCGCCUAACACAUGCAAGUCGAACGAGCAAUGGAGAGCUUGCUUUCCAGAGCGAGUGGCGAACGGGUGAGUAACGCGUGAGGAACCUGCCUCAAAGAGGGGGACAACAGUUGGAAACGACUGCUAAUACCGCAUAAGCCCACGGGUCGGCAUCGACCAGAGGGAAAAGGAGCAAUCCGCUUUGAGAUGGCCUCGCGUCCGAUUAGCUAGUUGGUGAGGUAAUGGCCCACCAAGGCAACGAUCGGUAGCCGGACUGAGAGGUUGAACGGCCACAUUGGGACUGAGACACGGCCCAGACUCCUACGGGAGGCAGCAGUGGGGAAUAUUGCACAAUGGGGGAAACCCCGAUGCAGCGACGCCGCGUGGAGGAAGAAGGUCUUCGGAUUGUAAACUCCUGUUGUUGGGGAAGAUAAUGACGGUACCCAACAAGGAAGUGACGGCUAACUACGUGCCAGCAGCCGCGGUAAAACGUAGGUCACAAGCGUUGUCCGGAAUUACUGGGUGUAAAGGGAGCGCAGGCGGGAAGACAAGUUGGAAGUGAAAUCUAUGGGCUCAACCCAUAAACUGCUUUCAAAACUGUUUUUCUUGAGUAGUGCAGAGGUAGGCGGAAUUCCCGGUGUAGCGGUGGAAUGCGUAGAUAUCGGGAGGAACACCAGUGGCGAAGGCGGCCUACUGGGCACCAACUGACGCUGAGGCUCGAAAGUGUGGGUAGCAAACAGGAUUAGAUACCCUGGUAGUCCACACCGUAAACGAUGAUUACUAGGUGUUGGAGGAUUGACCCCUUCAGUGCCGCAGUUAACACAAUAAGUAAUCCACCUGGGGAGUACGACCGCAAGGUUGAAACUCAAAGGAAUUGACGGGGGCCCGCACAAGCAGUGGAGUAUGUGGUUUAAUUCGACGCAACGCGAAGAACCUUACCAAGUCUUGACAUCCCUUGACAGACAUAGAAAUAUGUUUUCUCUUCGGAGCAAGGAGACAGGUGGUGCAUGGUUGUCGUCAGCUCGUGUCGUGAGAUGUUGGGUUAAGUCCCGCAACGAGCGCAACCCUUACGGUCAGUUACUACGCAAGAGGACUCUGGCCAGACUGCCGUUGACAAAACGGAGGAAGGUGGGGAUGACGUCAAAUCAUCAUGCCCUUUAUGACUUGGGCUACACACGUACUACAAUGGCGUUAAACAAAGAGAAGCAAGACCGCGAGGUGGAGCAAAACUCAGAAACAAUGUCCCAGUUCGGACUGCAGGCUGCAACUCGCCUGCACGAAGUCGGAAUUGCUAGUAAUCGUGGAUCAGCAUGCCACGGUGAAUACGUUCCCGGGCCUU